CGCAGGGUGCAAGCGUUAAUCGGAAUUACUGGGCGUAAAGCGUGCGCAGGCGGUUUUGUAAGUCUGUCGUGAAAGCCCCGGGCUCAACCUGGGAAUCGCGAUGGAGACUGCAAGGCUUGAAUCUGGCAGAGGGGGGUAGAAUUCCACGUGUAGCAGUGAAAUGCGUAGAGAUGUGGAGGAACACCGAUGGCGAAGGCAGCCCCCUGGGUCAAGAUUGACGCUCAUGCACGAAAGCGUGGGGAGCAAACAGGAUUAGAUACCCUGGUAGUCCACGCCCUAAACGAUGUCUACUAGUUGUCGGGUUUUAAUUAACUUGGUAACGCAGCUAACGCGUGAAGUAGACCGCCUGGGGAGUACGGUCGCAAGAUUA
rnacentral:rRNA from 1 species